AUGGAGGCGGUGCUCGGUGGCCGCCCUCCCGGAGCUGGUUUCCUCCCUGGGAAAGCAGGUCUCUCCGCGGUGCUGAGGAGCUCGGGCUGGAAUUUCCCCGCAGCGCCGCCCCGCCGGGAGGGACCAGGAGGGAUCUACCCGAGCCCGAUGAGCAGCCCGGGGAGACGCCCGAAACCCAGAACCUGCGCGUUAAAACUGAAAACUUUCCUCCCUUCCACCAUGUCAGUCCCAGGGAUCGAACUUACGCGGUCAGGCACGGUGGUGUCAAGGUCUGGACUCUGCAGGUGUGGAGCAGUGCUGCCAUCUGUCCAGAAGAGGGCGCGAUCUGCAUUCUUCAGAACUGGAAGAACAAGAGCAGCAAGCCUGAGAAAUAAGGCUAUUCCUCCACCUGGAGUGGUGCAGUCUUUCAGUUCAAUAAUUAAAG
rnacentral:lncRNA from 1 species